CUCUGUUGAUAGCCAUCGAAUAAAUUGUGUCAGUGUGGCAACUUAUUGUCUUAAGAAUUUCAUGCGGUUUAGUAAUAUCCCAAAUAAUUAUCUGCGGUUAUAAAUUAAGUGAUUAGCGAUUUCAACUAGAAGUAUGAGUAUGCACUUUACGCUUGUGUGCCAACAAUUCGACCGUAAAUUCGCUGAGGUUAGACGAUAGGCCCUCAUUUGGGAUCUCCCAAAUUUUAACCUGGAGACAUUUAGUAAGAGUUCGUUAGCAUGCGAUUUCUAGUAAAUAUCCUUGCACAUUUUAUGCAUUAUAAUACAUUUGAUGGGAAAGUUACUCACUGUACAAUCAUCUGAUGCAGAAGCGAUAACAUUGUCAUUGAAUGGAUUCCAUUUUAGUUUCAAGAAUUGGGACUCGUGAAAUCUUACUUGAUUAAUUGGUAUCACAGCAAACGUUGCAUCGGCCACUAUUGCCAAAAAUUUCGGAUUAACGGCACAAAUAUUCCCAUCAUUUCCGUUUCGUACGACACUUAUAUCAGUA